rnacentral:tRNA from 3 species
GCCUCGGUAGCGCAGUAGGCAGCGCGUAAGUCUCAUAAUCUUAAGGCCGUGAGUUCGAUCCUCACCCGGGGCA